AAGUCGUAACAAGGUUUCCGUAGGUGAACCUGCGGAAGGAUCAUUAACAGUUUAUAUGUUUAUAUGUUGUUGUUGUUGUGAUGUGUGUAACACCUUGUGUGACAAUUGCCAUUCUUUUGGCAAAUGUCAUAUCUUUUUUUUAACCAUAUGUUUACCCUUGUUAUUCUUAUAUACCAUACCAUAUAUAUUUAUAUCGAAAACUGCCAGCAAUGGAUCACUCGGUUCUUGC
rnacentral:misc_RNA from 1 species